GUCCAGGUAGCUGCCUUCGCCAUGGAUGUUCCUCCUGAUCUCUACGCAUUUCACUGCUACACCAGGAAUUCCGCUACCCUCUACCACACUCUAGUCGCCCAGUAUCCACUGCAGUUCCCAGGUUGAGCCCAGGGCUUUCACAACGGACUUAAACGACCACCUACGCACGCUUUACGCCCAGUAAUUCCGAGUAACGCUUGCACCCUUCGUAUUACCGCGGCUGCUGGCACGAAGUUAGCCGGUGCUUAUUCUUUGGGUACCGUCAUCCCAACCGGGUAUUAGCCAGCUGGAUUUCUUUCCCAACAAAAGGGCUUUACAACCCGAAGGCCUUCUUCACCCACGCGGUAUGGCUGGAUCAGGCUUGCGCCCAUUGUCCAAUAUUCCCCACUGCUGCCUCCCGUAGGAGUCUGGACCGUGUCUCAGUUCCAGUGUGGCUGAUCAUCCUCUCAGACCAGCUACGGAUCGUCGCCUUGGUGGGCCUUUACCCCGCCAACUAGCUAAUCCGACAUCGGCUCAUUCAAUCGCGCAAGGUCCGAAGAUCCCCUGCUUUCACCCGUAGGUCGUAUGCGGUAUUAGCGUAAGUUUCCCUACGUUAUCCCCCACGACAGAGUAGAUUCCGAUGUAUUCCUCACCCGUCCGCCACUCGCCACCCAGAGAGCAAGCUCUCCUGUGCUGCCGUUCGACUUGCAUGUGUUAGGCCUACCGCCAG
rnacentral:rRNA from 1 species